UAAGGAAUAUUGGUCAAUGGACGCAAGUCUGAACCAGCCAUGCCGCGUGAAGGAUUAAGGCCCUCUGGGUUGUAAACUUCUUUUAUAGGGGAAGAAAUGUGACGGUUCUCCGUCACUUGGCGGUACCCUGGGAAUAAGCACCGGCUAACUUCGUGCCCGCAGCCGCGGUAAUACGAAGGGUGCAAGCGUUACUCGGAAUUACUGGGCGUAAAGCGUGCGUAGGUGGUUGUUUAAGUCUGAUGUGAAAGCCCUGGGCUCAACCUGGGAAUGGCAUUGGAAACUGUGGAGCUAGUGUGCGGUAUAGGGUAGUGGAAUUCCCGGUGUAGCAGGGAAAUGCGUAGAGAUCGGGAGGAACAUCUGUGGCGAAGGCGACUGCCUGGACCCGCACUGACACUGAGGC
rnacentral:rRNA from 1 species